CGAGGGCUCCGGUCCGCCGGGGCGACAACAGAAUGCGUGCGCGACUGGGGGAAGCCGGUGGAAAUCCGGCGCUGACCUGCAACCGUGAGCGGCCCGGAGCCGCGAGUCGGACCACCCGGUGCGCGUGUACCGCU
rnacentral:ncRNA from 2 species